rnacentral:lncRNA from 1 species
GGCGAGCUUCACAAAUGGAGAGCGGACAAAGCCGAACCUGUGCGUCGUCGGCUGUGAGUGGAGCGGAGCGGUGGAUCAUGGAUCUGAACAAAGAUUCACCCUCUUCAGGAUCGGGAGUCUUCAAUCUAAAGAGAUUGUCUGGUACGAGUAAAGGGCGGCGGCGGCAGGUCGGUCUGAUCUUGAACAGUAUGAUUCGAAGGCGAAAGAUGAAAUAAAACACGGAUCUGGAAGUCGAAGACACGAACAGAGAUGCACGAACAAAUCGGUGCUUGCAAUGUGCGCACAAGUAGAUCUAAGUGAGGACGAAUGGAGAGCGGAUAUGGGUCGAGAGUGCGACGAACUGUGUGGAUGGAAGGAGCAGUGAUGGCGGAAGGAGCAGUGAUGGCAGAAGGAGUAGUGGCGGCGGCGGCAGAAUCAGAGACGAGGAUUUUGAUCUAGGAGGCAGAGCGAAUUACUUGGAGACAUGAUGUGUAUUGAUUACUGAUGGGUAUGGCUCUGCCUCCGUCGACGAAUCAACGGAGGCAGACGUGCAGGGAUGUGACGGCUAGAAUACAAGGAGACUUAAAAUCCUAUAGCUCUGAUACCAUGUUGAUUUUAUGGAAUCAAUCUAUAUUUCAUUAAUUACUUAAUAGAGAUACAAGCCUAUAUAUAACCAUAGAGAAAUACACUUAAGGAAAUAAUAUCAAAUAAUAUCUCCAGAAUAAUAUCUCCAGAAUAAUAUCUCCUAAGAAUAAUAUCUCUUAAGAAUAAUCUAAUUAUAUUAAUACAAGUCCAAUAUAAUCAGAAUUACAAAGAAGAGGUUAGAUUGUCCAAGAUCCAAAACAUUAUAAAAAACUCUUGUCAGAAUUAGUUGGUGCAACAAAAUUGAUAAAUACAUUAUUAUGAGUCUCAUUUUGAUUUAAUAUGAAAUGUUUAAACAACGUGCAGUUACAUAGAGCACAAGAUGUACAACAAGAAUUACUCUAGUUUAGAAUUAGUAGGCAUUGGAAGGAAAGAAAAGAGACAGCAAAUCCACAUACCAGAGUUAAGAAGAAUCUGGAAGACCUCUUGGUGGCCACCCUCAAGAGCAAUCUA